CUGAUAUCCCUGUACAGACCGAGCAAGUGAGGUUAAUAAUUAAUUUAUUAUAUGGCUACUACAUAUAUAAACACACAAACUCACAGUAUUGCCCGAAUAUGAAGGCUGCUGACGGCUCGUAGUCCGACUUAUGUCUGUUAGAAAGA